rnacentral:rRNA from 1 species
GGUUAAGCGACUAAGCGUACACGGUGGAUGCCCUGGCAGUCAGAGGCGAUGAAGGACGUGCUAAUCUGCGAUAAGCGUCGGUAAGGUGAUAUGAACCGUUAUAACCGGCGAUUUCCGAAUGGGGAAACCCAGUGUGUUUCGACACACUAUCAUUAACUGAAUCCAUAGGUUAAUGAGGCGAACCGGGGGAACUGAAACAUCUAAGUACCCCGAGGAAAAGAAAUCAACCGAGAUUCCCCCAGUAGCGGCGAGCGAACGGGGAGCAGCCCAGAGUCUGAAUCAGUGUGUGUGUUAGUGGAAGCGUCUGGAAAGGCGCGCGAUACAGGGUGACAGCCCCGUACACAAAAAUGCACAUGCUGUGAGCUCGAUGAGUAGGGCGGGACACGUGGUAUCCUGUCUGAAUAUGGGGGGACCAUCCUCCAAGGCUAAAUACUCCUGACUGACCGAUAGUGAACCAGUACCGUGAGGGAAAGGCGAAAAGAACCCCGGCGAGGGGAGUGAAAAAGAACCUGAAACCGUGUACGUACAAGCAGUGGGAGCCUCUUUAUGGGGUGACUGCGUACCUUUUGUAUAAUGGGUCAGCGACUUAUAUUCUGUAGCAAGGUUAACCGAAUAGGGGAGCCGAAGGGAAACCGAGUCUUAACUGGGCGUUAAGUUGCAGGGUAUAGACCCGAAACCCGGUGAUCUAGCCAUGGGCAGGUUGAAGGUUGGGUAACACUAACUGGAGGACCGAACCGACUAAUGUUGAAAAAUUAGCGGAUGACUUGUGGCUGGGGGUGAAAGGCCAAUCAAACCGGGAGAUAGCUGGUUCUCCCCGAAAGCUAUUUAGGUAGCGCCUCGUGAAUUCAUCUCCGGGGGUAGAGCACUGUUUCGGCAAGGGGGUCAUCCCGACUUACCAACCCGAUGCAAACUGCGAAUACCGGAGAAUGUUAUCACGGGAGACACACGGCGGGUGCUAACGUCCGUCGUGAAGAGGGAAACAACCCAGACCGCCAGCUAAGGUCCCAAAGUCAUGGUUAAGUGGGAAACGAUGUGGGAAGGCCCAGACAGCCAGGAUGUUGGCUUAGAAGCAGCCAUCAUUUAAAGAAAGCGUAAUAGCUCACUGGUCGAGUCGGCCUGCGCGGAAGAUGUAACGGGGCUAAACCAUGCACCGAA